rnacentral:rRNA from 1 species
CCUACAGGUGGCUGCAGUGGGGAAUAUUGCGCAAUGGGCGAAAGCCUGACGCAGCGACGCCGCGUGAGGGAUGUAGUUCUUCGGAUCGUAAGCCUCUGUCAGCAGGGAAGAACGGUCACUGUGCUAAUCAGCAGUGAAUUGCCGGUACCUCCAAAGCAAGCACCGGCUAACUCCGUGCCAGCAGCCGCGGUAAUGCGGAGGGUGCGAGCGUUAAUCGGAAUUACUGGGCGUAAAGCGAUCGGAGGCGGUAUGGCAAGUCAAGGGUGAAAUCCCCGCGCUCAACGUGGGAACUGCGUUUGACACUGGCAAAGUGGAGUGUGUGUGAGGAUAGUGGAAUUCCAGGUGUAGGAGUGAAAUCCGGAGAUAUCUGGAGGAACAUCAGUGGCGAAGGCGACGAUCUGGCACAUAACUGACGCUGAGGAGCGAGAGCGUGGGUAGCAAACAGGAGUAGAUACCCUAGUAGUC